UUCCACAUGGUUUCACUGACCUCCAUUAUCUCCUCAUUCAAUCCAGGAGACUGGUAUGUCACCCUCAACUUGAAGGAUGCAUAUUUCCACAUAGCAAUAGUUCCACAAUACAGACAUUACCUCAGAUUUGUGGUGAGCAACUGUCAUUAUCAGUUUGGCAUCCUCCCUUUCGGCCUGUCAGCAGCCCCUCGAGUUUUCACCAAAUGCAUGGCUGUCGUUGUGGUAUUCCUGUGCAUGUGCUGGAUACAGGUUUUCCCAUACCUCAAUGACUGGCUGAUCAAAGGCCACUCCAGAACCCAAGUGGAGGAUCAGGUCGUCUUCAUUAGAAGGACCUUCCUUGAACUAGGUCUUCUCAAUGAGGCCAAAUCCACCCUGUCCCUGAUGCAAAGGAUAGAAUUCAUAGGUGCAGUACUGGAUUCAACCCAAGCCAGGGCAUACCUUCCAGAAGCCAGGUUCCAGUUGCUAGGGGACAUUACACGGGGCCUCAGGCAGUUCCCCAUGACCAAGGCAAGGAACCGACUGAAACUACUGGGACACAUGGCCGCGUGCAUGUACGUAGUGCAGUAUGCCAGACUUGGACUUCACCCACUCCAGUCAUGGCUGGUGUCGGUUUAUCAACCAGCCUGGGACUCUCUGGACAGCAUCGUAACCCUGCCCUAUGUGGUGCUGGACUCCCUCCUGUGCUCGAACCACAGGUGGUUUGUGCGGGAGUGCCCUUCACCAGCCCUCAGCCAUCUUUCAUUAGUGACAGAUGCCUCAGACCUGGGCUGGGGAGCUCAUAUGGGAGACCUCAGGACUUUGGUCUCAGACAGACCUCGCUCAACAUAUCAAUGUCAGAGAGCUGAGAGCCGUGCACCUGGUGUGCCAGGUUUUCAGAGCCCACAUACUUGGCAGGUGUAUUUCAGUCCUCACGGACAACACCAUGGCGAUGUUUUAUAUCAACAAACGGGGGUGCUCGCUUCUCUCCCCUGUGCUGAGAAGCCUCAUGCUGUGGGACUUCUGCGUAGAGCACUUGAUACACCUGCAGGCUUCAUAUCUCCCCAUAGUACAGAACGAGCUGGCAGACAGUCUGAGCCAAACUUUUCAUGGCCACGAGUGCUCCCUCCAGCCAGACGUAGCAAGCUCACUUUUCCAUCUCUGAGGUUCUCACUAGGUAGACCUGUUCACCACAUACAGCAACAGGAAGUGUCAGUUAUUCUGCUUCUUCAUGAAUCACAGCCUGGAGUCCAUCACGAAUGCCUUCCUUCUCCCGUGGGGAGACAGUCUGCUUUACGCAUUCCUACCAAUACCUUUUGGUCCACAAGGUGCUCCUCAAGAUCCACAGGGACAGGGUUAUACUGAUAGCUCUGGCAUGGCACUGGUUUACAUUGCUCCUGGAAAUGUCUGUGGCUCCUCUGCUCACCUUGCCAUUGGUCCUGGACCUGAUCACACAGGACCAGAGCAUCUCCGGCACCCGAACCUAGAGUUGCUCCACCUCAUGGCCUGGAUGCUCCAUGGCUAAAUACUGCAGAACUGAUCUCCUCAGAUCAAGUCAGGCAAGUUCUCCUUAGCAGUAGAAAGCCCUCUAAAGGGCAGUGUACCUUGCCAAGUGGAAGAGGUUCUCUCUCUGGUGGGAGCAACACAGUCAGUCACCAACGCUCACCUUGAUACCGUUCAUACUGGACUACCUCCUUCACCUUAAGCAACAGGACCUGUCCUUGUUGUCAGUAAGGGUCCACCUGGCUGCCAUUUCUGCUUUCCAUCUGGGUGCAGACAGUUUCUCGGUCUUCGCAAACCCUAUGGUCAGACGUUUCC
ensembl:lncRNA